rnacentral:rRNA from 1 species
AAUGAACGCUGGCGGCAUGCCUAACACAUGCAAGUCGAGCGAAUGAAGGGGGCUUGCUCCUGGAUGCAGCGGCGGACGGGUGAGUAAUGCCCAGGAGUCUGCCAGAUCGUGGGGAAUAGGGUCCGGAAACGGGAGCUAAUCUCGCAUACGACCAGAGAGCGAAAGUGGGGGAUCUUCGGACCUAACGCUAUCAGAUGAGGCUAGGUGGGAUUAGCUAGUUGGUUGGGUAACGGCCUACCAAGGCGGCGAUGCGAAACUGGUCUGAGAGGAUGACCAGUCACACUGGAACUGAGACACGGUCCAGACUCUUACGGUGGGAAGCAGUCGGGAAUCUUGCGCGAUGGGCGAAUGCCUGAUCUAGGAAUGCCGCGUGAGUGAUGAAGGUCCUCGGAUGGUAAAGCACUGUAAGUUGGGAGGAAGUACAGUUAUUUUAUCCGUGACUAUCUUGACGGUACCGACAGAAUAAGCCCCGGCUAACUUCGUG